GAGGGACAACAUGAUCCCGGCCUCCCCUACUGUGUCAGUGUUGGCGGACCUCCUCCCUGCGCUCGCGCUGCUCCAAACAGGUAUGAGCCAUGACGGCAGCAAGGUGACACCCACCUCUCUUCCGCUGCUGCUCCGGUGUGGUGCAACGCGGCUCCAGCUCAGCUCCCGGUGGAGAUUUGUAUAUAAAUUCCAACAUCCAUCGGACAUCCCUCUCUCCGCGAUGUCCUCCAGAGGUAAACAUGACUUGUGCCGAAUGUGUGGCGGAGCUCUCAAGGGAAACCAAAGGCGGUGGCUGUUUGGGGGCCUAAACAAGAAGACUGGUCCGCCUCGGACCCCGACAAGUUCUCUGAGGGGAGGAAGUCUGUCCCGGUCCUCACAGAGCAGCCCCUGGGGCAGCACGUCAUCUCUGUGUUCCUCAGCGUCUCUCUCCAAGUCGCAGUUAUGCCUGAGCUCCCCGUCCAAAGGGAUGGAUCUGCUCUCGGUGUUGACUCACAUACUGGGGCAUUCUGUCCCACGAGGCAGCGGGCAGGGGGAGUUUGUGUGCGGGAAAUGCAUGUGCGUCCUCGAGCGGGUAUUUAAGUUCGACUCGGUGAUAGCCAGGGUGAGGGUCCUUUCCUCCGAGAGGCUUCAGAAGCUGAUGCAGGAGAGGGACAAGAUCAGACAGGGGGUGCGCCAAAGCUAUUACCAGAGACACCCGCGGGACUUCCAGAGCAGGGGCAGCACCAGCGAGGAGGAUGGAGAUGCGGAGAAGGAGGGCUACAGGGAGAUGCUCAAAGAGAAUAUGGCACUCUCAGAGUACGAGUGCUGGUCCGAGAAGUGGGACACGUGCCCGUAUUUUACAAGAACGGGUAAAAGAUGCAGAAAGGGCAAAGGAUGUGAAGGCUGUGAUUCUUUACGGGUGUCCUGACUCAGAUUAUGAGUCUGUUUGUGGGAAUUCCUCGCCGUUUGCCUUUCCAACCCUUCUCCCCGUUGCCGUUGUCGCGGGACAAAUCUCAGAGCAUGCCCCUCCACUGGCAGAGGAUGCCAUCCUUCAGCUCCAGCCAGUCUUCACUGGCCGUGUCCACUCUCUCCUUACAAACGUCUUCCCGCACUGCGUCCAUCCAGUCUCUGGACUCUCUUGAUGGCAACGACCCGUUUGACUCGCUGGGUGUUCAGUCGGCCAACCUUGUGCUGAAGGAGCUGAGAAGUAUUGAAGGGAAGCCGGUUUGUUCACCAUCUGGCAGUAAGAUCCCAGUUCUGGGCAGGAAGUACUCGGGAGAAGUUGGGGAGACGGCGUCACCCUCCGUGAACAGGGUACUGCACUUUGGGAAUGUAGAGAACGGAGGGCAGGAAGUGGAUGAAGAGGACGGGGAUGUCCUAUCAGAGCUGAGGGAAGAGUUCAUGCCUCUUCAUCGAGAAAGCACUACUGGCAAGGUUCACUACGCUGUCAGACACCUGCGAGGCCAGCUGGACCAAGCUUUGUCCCACAUCAGGACCCUGGAGGCCGAGCUGAAACAUGGGAGGAGCAAACAAACAGAGUCCAAUGGAUCAGAAGACUGGGCCCCUUUGGUCCAGGAGGAAGGUGGCAGCUCCCUGCUGCAGAGCCUCGGUCACUCCCUGCACAGCCGGGAGCGUCUGAUCCAGGAGUGUAUGGGUCUGAUCAGAAGACUGUGUGUGGAGAAGGGAGCAGGGACUGAGCUGGCCGACAGGCUGACUGAGAAUCUGAAGGAAACUCAAUCGGUCAACAAGGCUGCCCUGCAGACUUUGAGGUUCGAAAUCACUGGGAAGGAGAAGAGCAUGGAGAAAGAGAUCGAGGCACUGAGGAAGGCUGGAAAAGACAGAGAGAGAGACCUCGACACGCUCAACACCGUGCUGCAGUGCAACCAGGAUAUUAUCAAUGACCUGCGAGUGGCUCUGGGGGAGAAGGAGCGACUGCUGAAGGAGGUGGGGAAAGAGAGGGAGGUGUGGAGACAGAGGGACCGGGCCCUUGCGUCUGUCCUGCAGGAGAAGGAGGCUCUAAUCCAGGAGCUGCAGAGCGGUCACAAAGCUGUGCAGGUGUGUACAAGAGUGUAAUUUCUGCCUCUGGGGUUGGGGUGGUGGUAUGGCUCCCUUACUUUUCAAAGGGAUAUAAAAUUACAUAAGUGUCCAUUUAAAAAAUGUUUGUUAUUGAAUAAGGGAAGCUGUUACUCACAACAUGUCCUUUACCUCCAGGCUCUCUCUGACUCUGUGACUGGUCAGGGGUUGGACUGGUGAGGGAAAUGGCGCCACCUUGUGCAAGGAGGUCACCAAACUCACCACAGCCCUGCAGGAGUACCAGGACAUGGUGCAGGUGAGAUAUCACCAUGAGAAGAGCGUUUGAAAGUUUUAUACAUUUAAGAGAAAUCCGAUGGGGAAAAAAAGCUGCCUUCUCAUUGUGAGUUGAGAAUCUUUUUCACCUGCAACUUCUUGAAAACACUUUUUUAUAGAUUAUUUACACUUUGAUAUUCGAGAACUUAAAGAAUGGUAUAGAGUAGAGCUGAAACAAUUAGUUGGUUAAUCAAAUAAUCAUCAACCAUUUUGAUAAUCGAGCUACAGAAAAUCAAAUCACUUCUAACAUAAGGUGGUGUGAGUGGAGAGGGACCCUCCAAACCACCAGGACGGGGCAGGUCUCAUAACCACUCAAACAAGAACUUCCAACGCUGAAAGACAAAAGACACAAGUAACUCAGCCUUUCUUAUUAUUCCUUUUUCACCAGAAUCAGCAGGAGAGUCACAGUCAGACGGUGUCCUCUCUGACGGAUCAACUCAGAAACACUCUGCGGGAGCUGCGGGAGACAGAGAAGCAGAAGAAGGAGGCCGAUAGAUCCUGGCAGAACAGCAGAGAGGACCGAGAGAGAGAGGAGAGGAAACUGAGGGACAGCCUGGAGAAGAGAGACAAACUCAUAGAGGUACAGUGCAGGAAUCUGAUGCUUGUCGUAGCAAUAUUCACUGCGUGCAUGUCGCUAAGUAACACAUCAUUGUUGUUAGUUCAACACCAGAGUUUUAUAUACUGUAGACCACAGAGCCAUAUCAACUGUGAGUGUAAAUAACUCCCAAAACUCAGAAAAUAUUGGUAUUGUAACACUGAAAUGUUAUGUACAAAUCAUAACCCAAUCCAUGUUCAGCUCCCAAAAUAAAUAAUAAAUAAAUACAAUUUUUUUUCUUCCAACGUAGCAAAUCCUGUUGGAUGCUGAGGAGCAGGACCAUCUGUUCAGAGAGCUGCAGCAGAACCUGCAGAACAAACGUGAACCUCUGACCGCCAUCAAACACACACUGUGAUCCAGGACGACUACUGUACUGACGAGAUGCAAGCUAAUUGCUAAUUGCACAGAGACGGAAGAUUACUUUUGCACUUUCUGCACCACCUUUUUGCCUCUCUAGCAUAUUUAUCGUGGUGUACAUUAAGUCCUAUUUAUAUUUAUCUUUCUACAUUUUUGAGGUUUGCAUUUGCAGACCUGGCAAUUUUUCCACAAUUGCUACUUGACUGACUCUCGAGAGUGAAUCAGUCAUUUCAGACUUAAGAGAGUCGGACUGAUUGUUUUCAGUUAGGAGAGAUGUCAAGUCCAGCUUUUUAUAGCUGGAUGUUUAAUACUUGAUUUUAAAGAAAUCCCCAGAUUACUGUAUUUAGUUAAUUGUUGAAUGUAAUGGGUCUAAUGGUCAGGCAGUGAUUAGAUUUCAUGCAGUGGGUUUGUUGAUGCAAACCUUUCUGAACGGUAUGAUUGUUAGUGGAUCGGAGUAACAUUUAUUAUGUCCUUUAGGACAUUAGCAGGUACAAUAUUGCUUUAAAUUCCGAAUUAACCUCCCUAUGAAGCUUUUUCUAGUGUCUUUUAUUGUGUUUGUCUCUUCACCUUUUCGGUACAGCGGAACUGUCAUUAUUUUGUUUACAGUGCAAGCUUAGCACUUGUGGAGGGGAAUAGAUGGGACCAAAAUAAUAUUUUUAACAGCUUUCAUUUUCUAUUUUUAUAGCCUGCGGCUUAUUUUUUUGUUUCAUUCAUGUAUCUUCUAUGUUUACAUGUAUUGCUACUCUGGGACUUAUUACUGGAGACAUUUUCUUUCUUUUAACUCAAGAGAAUUAAACACUCUGAUCCAAAUGACUGAUGUCUACAGAUGCUGUUAUUCAUGCAUGCCUGGGGAUGUUGCUGGUUCAGAAGUGUUUUUUUCCAAAUUCUGUAUUCCCAUUAGAAAAGUUUUAUUUGAAUGAUUUAUUAAAUGUUAAUUGCCAUAUAAACACAAGACUCUCUCAGAUAUUUUGAGGAUCAUAUAUGUUUGUUACGACCAUCAUUUCAAAUGAACCUGAACAU
rnacentral:lncRNA from 1 species